CCUACGGGCGGCAGCAGUGGGGAAUAUUGGACAAUGGGCGAAAGCCUGAUCCAGCCAUGCCGCGUGUGUGAAGAAGGCCUUCGGGUUGUAAAGCACUUUCAGUGGGGAAGAAAGCCUUGGGGCUAAUACCCUCGAGGAAGGACAUCACCCACAGAAGAAGCACCGGCUAACUCCGUGCCACCAGCCGCGGUAAUACGGAGGGUGCGAGCGUUAAUCGGAAUUACUGGGCGUAAAGCGCGCGUAGGCGGUCUGAUAAGCCGGUUGUGAAAGCCCCGGGCUCAACCUGGGAACGGCAUCCGGAACCGUCAGGCUAGAGUGCAGGAGAGGAAGGUAGAAUUCCCGGUGUAGCAGUGAAAUGCGUAGAGAUCGGGAGGAAUACCAGUGGCGAAGGCGGCCUUCUGGACUGACACUGACGCUGAGGUGCGAAAGCGUGGGUAGCAAACAGGAUUAGAUACCCGUGUAGUC
rnacentral:rRNA from 1 species